rnacentral:lncRNA from 1 species
AGCAGAUCAGAGCUGGUGGAUCCACUCUGGAGAUGAACUGCUGGCUGUACCCUGCAAGCCAGUACAGGGAGGGCUUCUUUCCUUUCUGCCACACUGCUGUGGAGUUAACAACGGCAGAGUGCAUGGAAUUGCACAGAACAAAGUCUGGAGUAAGAGCGAGAUCAAGCCUGCGUAUGUCUCCCCAGGUUACCAUAACUGAAAUAGGUGUAGCAACCCAUGAAAGCCUUCACUCUGAGAAAUGCACUGUACCAUUUUAUCAUCUGGUACAAUAAGAUGCCAUCAUACAGUGAGAUCAUCCUUCUGAUCCUGUCCAGAGUAAAUGAAACUGAAUAAGAUGGCCUUCUUCAAAAUUAUUAUUUUGAAGGUAAUGGUUUUGCUUACAGAUAUGCAAUGGUUCCACCUGAGAAGUACAAUUAUUUAUAUGAUGUUACAACCUAGUGUCCUGUUCUCACAGAUAUUUUUGAAGAUCCACUGGAUAGUACAACAAAAUAUUUAAUUUCAUUGUUCAUGUGCCAAGGGCUGGGUUUUCAGUUUCCUUUGAGUCC